GCGUGAGCCACUGUACCAGGCUACUUAGUCUAAGAUUUUCAGUGUGCACCUGAGAUUUGCCCUUUCCAAAAUGAGGAAGAGGCCUGAAGCCGAUCAGCUGAAAGAAGUACUAAGCCCUGCAGGCUGAAAAGAUCCGCGGAAAGCACCCCUGACACGCAUAUAUUUGUGGAUGGGAUACCUGGAUUGAGAGCGAACUCCAUCAACCCCCCGAGACACUGCACCCUGCUCCCUCCUCUGCUGGAGGAACUGCCACUUUCUAAAGGAAA
rnacentral:lncRNA from 10 species